CCUACGGGAGACUGCAGUGAGGAAUAUUGGUCAAUGGGCGCGAGCCUGAACCAGCCAAGUCGCGUGAGGGAUGAAGGUUCUAUGGAUCGUAAACCUCUUUUAUAAGGGAAUAAAGUGUGGGACGUGUCCUAUUUUGUAUGUACCUUAUGAAUAAGGAUCGGCUAACUCCGUGCCAGCAGCCGCGGUAAUACGGAGGAUCCGAGCGUUAUCCGGAUUUAUUGGGUUUAAAGGGUGCGUAGGCGGCCUUUUAAGUCAGCGGUGAAAGUCUGUGGCUCAACCAUAGAAUUGCCGUUGAAACUGGGGGGCUAGAGUAUGUUUGAGGCAGGCGGAAUGCGUGGUGUAGCGGUGAAAUGCUUAGAUAUCAGGAAGAACCCCGAUGGCGAAGGCAGCCUGCCGGGCCAUGACUGACGCUGAGGCACGAAAGCGUGGGGAUCAAACAGGAUUAGAUACCCUUGUAGUC
rnacentral:rRNA from 1 species